rnacentral:rRNA from 1 species
UACGAAGGGGGCUAGCGUUGCUCGGAAUUACUGGGCGUAAAGGGCGCGUAGGCGGCACUGUUAGUCAGGCGUGAAAGUCCUGGGCUCAACCUGGGAACUGCGCUUGAUACGGCAGAGCUAGAGGAUGGAAGAGGCUCGCGGAAUUCCCGGUGUAGCGGUGAAAUGCGCAGAUAUCAGGAGGAACACCGGUGGCGAAGGCGGCUCACUGGCCCGAUACUGACGCUGGAGGUGACGAAAGCGUGGGGAGCAAACAGG